AGUGAACGCUGGCGGUAGGCCUAACACAUGCAAGUCGAACGGCAGCACAGUAAGAGCUUGCUCUUACGGGCGGCGAGUGGCGGACGGGUGAGGAAUACAUCGGAAUCUACUUUUUCGUGGGGGCUAACGUCGGGAAACUUACGCUAAUACCGCAUACGACCUACGGGUGAAAGCAGGGGAUCUUCUGACCUUGCGCGAUUGUAUGAGCCGAUGUCGGCUUAGCUAGUUGGCGGGGUAAAGGCCCACCAAGGCGACGAUCCGUAGCUGGUCUGAGAGGAUGAUCAGCCAGACUGGAAGUGAGACACGGUAGAGACACCUACGGGAGGAAGCAGUGGGGAAUAUUGGACGAUGGGCGCAAGCCGGAUCCAGCAAUACCGCGUGGGUGAAGAAGGACUUCGGGUUGUAAAGCCAUUUUGGUGGGAAAGAAAAGCAGCAGGUUAAUACCCCGCUGUUCUGACGGUACCCAAAGAAUAAGCACCGGCUAACUUCGUG
rnacentral:rRNA from 1 species